UCACAGCAACAGGUGACUGACCCUUUGCCUU
rnacentral:piRNA from 1 species